UACGUAGGGACCAAGCGUUGUUCGGAUUUAUUGGGCGUAAAGAGCGUGUAGGCGGCCAGGUAGGUCUGCUGUGAAAACUCGAGGCUUAACCUCGAGCUGUCGGCGGAAACCAUCUGGCUAGAGUCCGGAAGAGGAGAAUGGAAUUCCCGGUGUAGCGGUGAAAUGCGCAGAUAUCGGGAAGAACACCCGUGGCGAAGGCGGUUCUCUGGGACGGUACUGACGCUGAGACGCGAAAGCGUGGGGAGCGAACAGG
rnacentral:rRNA from 1 species